UACGUAGGGUGCGAGCGUUAAUCGGAAUUACUGGGCGUAAAGCGUGCGCGGGCGGUUUUGCAAGCCGGAUGUGAAAUCCCCGGGCUCAACCUGGGAAUGGCAUUCGGGACUGCAAGGCUGGAGUGCGGCAGAGGAGACUGGAAUUCCUGGUGUAGCAGUGAAAUGCGUAGAUAUCAGGAGGAAUACCGAUGGCGAAGGCAGGUCUCUGGGCUGACACUGACGCUCAUGCACGAAAGCGUGGGGAGCAAACAGG
rnacentral:rRNA from 1 species